GUCCUGGCCCUAAACGAUGAAUGCUUGGUGUGGCGGGUAUCGAUCCCUGCAGUGCCGAAGCUAACGCAUUAAGCAUUCCGCCUGGGGAGUACGGUAGCAAGGCUGAAACUCAAAGGAAUUGACGGGGCCCGGCCACAAGCGGUGGAGCAUGUGGUUCAAUUCGACGCAACGCGAAGAACCUUACCCAGGCUUGAACAGCGAGUGACCACUUCCGAAAGGGAAGCUUCCGCAAGGACACUCGUAGAGGUGCUGCAUGGCUGUCGU
rnacentral:rRNA from 1 species